rnacentral:rRNA from 1 species
AUUGAACGCUGGCGGCAGGCCUAACACAUGCAAGUCGAGCGGAGCGGCGGCCGGGUGCGUAAUGCCUAGGAAUCUGCCUGGUAGUGGGGGAUAACGUCCGGAAACGGGCGCUAAUACCGCAUACUAUCAGAUGAGCCUAGGUCGGAUUAGCUAGUUGGUGGGGUAAAGGCCUACCAAGGCGACGAUCCGUACCUGGUCUGAGAGGCUGAUCAGUCACACGGGAAAUGAGACACGGGCCAGACUCCUACGGGAGGCAUCAGUGGGGAAUAUGUGACAAUGGGCGAAAUCCUGAGCCAGCCAUGCCGAGUGUGUGAAGAAGGUCUUCGGAUUGUAAAGCACUGUAAGUUGGGAGGCGUUACCAACAGAAUAAGCACCGGCUAACUUCGUGCCAGCCGCCGCGGUAAUAC